rnacentral:rRNA from 1 species
UACGUAGGUGGCAAGCGUUGUCCGGAGUUAUUGGGCGUAAAGCGUGCGCAGGCGGUUCGUUGUGUCGGCGGUGAAAGCCCCGGGCUUAACCUGGGAAUGGCCGUUGAAACUGGCGAACUGGAGUGUGGCAGAGGGGGGUGGAAUUCCGCGUGUAGCAGUGAAAUGCGUAGAGAUGCGGAGGAACACCGAUGGCGAAGGCAGCCCCCUGGGCUAACACUGACGCUCAGGCACGAAAGCGUGGGGAGCAAACAGG